CAUCAGAGAGUGGAUCACACUGGACUGAUCAGGUGCUAAGAGCUGGCAAUGGCAGAACCAGAAAGAAGAUGACAAUGGGCAGGUUUUCUCACUGAAGUCACUGAAUCACUCCUGGCCUGGGUGCUGCUGGCUGGCUUCUGGAGUUUGCUCACAGAUGGCAACAGAGAGAGGAUGAAGACCUUGCUGCUGUCCUUCCUGAAAAAACUACUGUCUUUGGAGAAGAUUCAACACCAACAGUCCCGGGAGUCAGGCAUGUUGUGGGGUAUCGAUGACAGACCUUACAGCUGUGAGACUAGGAGGCGGCUUAGUCAGCAUGGGACAGAAUAACAAUGCCAACAUCAUAGAAAUGUUGAAAGGAUUGAGUGAAUUGAAGAGGCCACUGUACUUAACAGCACCUCUCGGUGGUAAGUUCUCCACACAGAGCAGGAUGGCUUCCUACUUCUCCACUAGGAACUGGUUUCAU
rnacentral:lncRNA from 1 species